AUGGAGUUACAAAGGUUUAGAUUAGUUGAACAGGUCUGGAAAGGCCGGCCAUAGAAGGUAAAAGCCCUGUAGUCGAAAAUGUGAACCCUCCGAGACGGAUCCCGAGUAGUGCGGGGCACGUGAAACCCCGUAUGAAUCUGCCAGGACCAUCUGGUAAGGCUAAAUACUCCCUAGCGACCGAUAGUGAAGCAGUACCGUGAGGGAAAGGUGAAAAGCACCCCGGGAGGGGAGUGAAAUAGAACCUGAAACCGUGUGCUUACAAGAAGUCAGAGCCC
rnacentral:rRNA from 1 species